rnacentral:rRNA from 1 species
UACGUAGGUGGCGAGCGUUGUCCGGAUUUACUGGGCGUAAAGGGAGCGUAGGCGGACUUUUAAGUGAGAUGUGAAAUACUCGGGCUCAACUUGAGUGCUGCAUUUCAAACUGGAAGUCUAGAGUGCAGGAGAGGAGAAUGGAAUUCCUAGUGUAGCGGUGAAAUGCGUAGAUAUCGAGAGGAACACUCGUGGCGAAGGCGGGUUCCUGGACAUUAACUGACGCUGAGGCACGAAGGCCAGGGGAGCGAAAGGG